UUAAAUUGAAGAGUUUGAUCAUGGCUCAGAUUGAACGCUGGCGGCAGGCCUAACACAUGCAAGUCGAACGGUAACAGGAAGAAGCUUGCUGCUUUGCUGAAGAGUGGCGGACGGGUGAGUAAUGUCAGGGAAACUGCCUGAUGGAGGGGGAUAACUACUGGAAACGGUAGCUAAUACCGCAUAACGUCGCAAGACCAAAGAGGGGGACCUUCGGGCCUCUUGCCAUCGGAUGUGCCCAGAUGGGAUUAGCU
rnacentral:rRNA from 1 species